rnacentral:rRNA from 1 species
GGCAGCAUGGUCUUAGCUUGCUAAGGCUGAUGGCGACCGGCGCACGGGUGAGUAACACGUAUCCAACCUGCCGCCUACUCUUGGCCAGCCUUCUGAAAGGAAGAUUAAUCCAGGAUGGCAUCAUGAGUUCACAUGUCCGCAUGAUUAAAGGUAUUUUCCGGUAGACGAUGGGGAUGCGUUCCAUUAGAUAGUAGGCGGGGUAACGGCCCACCUAGUCAACGAUGGAUAGGGGUUCUGAGAGGAAGGUCCCCCACAUUGGAACUGAGACACGGUCCAAACUCCUACGGGAGGCAGCAGUGAGGAAUAUUGGUCAAUGGGCGAUGGCCUGAACCAGCCAAGUAGCGUGAAGGAUGACUGCCCUAUGGGUUGUAAACUUCUUUUAUAAAGGAAUAAAGUCGGGUAUGCAUACCCGUUUGCAUGUACUUUAUGAAUAAGGAUCGGCUAACUCCGUGCCAGCAGCCGCGGUAAUACGGAGGAUCCGAGCGUUAUCCGGAUUUAUUGGGUUUAAAGGGAGCGUAGAUGGAUGUUUAAGUCAGUUGUGAGAGUUUGCGGCUCAACCGUAAAAUUGCAGUUGAUACUGGAUGUCUUGAGUGCAGUUGAGGCAGGCGGAAUUGCGUGGUGUAGCGGUGAAAUGCUUAGAUAUCACGAAGAACUCCGAUUGCGAAGGCAGCCUGCUAAGCUGCAACUGACAU